GCACAAGCGGUGGAGCAUGUGGUUAAUUCGACGCAACGCGAAGAACCUUACCAGGACUUGACAUCCCCUGACAACCUACGAAAGUAGGUCUUCUGCCUUCGGGUAGACAGGGAGACAGGUGGUGCAUGGUUGUCGUCAGCUCGUGUCGUGAGAUGUUGGGUUAAGUCCCGCAACGAGCGCAACCCCUACGUUUAGUUGCUAACGCGUGAAGGCGAGCACUCUAGACGAACUGCCGUUGACAAAACGGAGGAAGUGGGAUGACGUCAAAUCAUCAUGCCCCUUAUGUUCUGGGCUACACACGUGCUACAAUGGCCGGUACAGACGGACGCAAAGCCGCGAGGUGGAGCAAAUCCUAAAAAGCCGGUCUCAGUUCGGAUUGCAGGCUGCAAUUCGCCUGCAUGAAGUCGGAAUCGCUAGUAAUCGCAGGUCAGCAUACUGCGGCGAAUACGUUCCCGGGCCUU
rnacentral:rRNA from 1 species